rnacentral:rRNA from 1 species
AUUGAACGCUAGCGGCAGGCCUUACACAUGCAAGUCGAACGAGUGGCGGACGGGUGAGUAAUAUAUGGGAAUCUGCCCAAUAGCGGGGGAUAACUACUCGAAACGGUGGCUAAUACCGCAUACUAUCGGAUGAACCCAUAUGGGAUUAGCUAGUUGGUGGGGUAAAGGCUCACCAAGGCGACGAUCCCUAGCUGGUCUGAGAGGAUGACAAGCCAAACUGGGACUGAGACACGGCCCAGACUCCUACGGGAGGCAGCAGUGGGGAAUUUUGGACAAUGGGGGCAAGCCUGAUGCAGCCAUGCCGCGUGUAUGAUGAAGGCCUUCGGGUUGUAAAGUACUUUCAGCGGGGAGGCGGUAUCUGCAGAAGAAGCACCGGCUAACUCCGUGCCAGCAGCCGCGGUAAUAC